GAUGAACGCUGGCGGUAUGCCUAACACAUGCAAGUCGUACGAGAGUUUUUAACUCUAGUGGCGGACGGGUGAGUAACACGUGAGAAUUUGCCUUUAGGAGGGGACAACAAUUGGAACGAAUGCUAAUAACCCCACUAUGCUUUCGAGUGAAAUGGAUUUUAUCCGCCUAGAGAGAAGCUCGCGGCUGAUUAGCUUGUUGGUAAGGUAAGAGCUUACCAAGGCGACGAUCAGUAUCUGGUUUGAGAGGACGAUCAGACACACUGGAACUGAGACACGGUCCAGACUCCUACGGGAGGCAGCAGUGGGGAAUUUUCCGCAAUGGGCGAAAGCCUGACGGAGCAAUACCGCGUGAGGGAAGAAUGCCCUAUGGGUUGUAAACCUCUUUUUUCUAGGGAGGAAUAAAAUGACGUGUACCUGAAGAAUAAGCAUCGGCUAACUACCGUG
rnacentral:rRNA from 1 species